ensembl:piRNA 21ur-6078 ncRNA
UAAUGUGAUUUUGGGUUGAAA